rnacentral:rRNA from 1 species
AUGCUCCAUAGGAAUAUUUUCUGUUAUUAUGUGGAACAUCCUUUUCCUCAGGAUGGAAUGCAAUGUUGGAAAAGAAAAUUCUAUUUUACCUACGAAAUUCACUUGCUGAUUAUGGUCCAGUACAAAAAGGCAGCCAUGUUUGCUUUCUCAUUUGCUGAUGGACACUGCUGUUUUGGCUCGCUGAAGCUGGACAGCUUUUACCUCAAGUUGCUUUUGCUUCUGGCUGCAUGGUUCAAGUCUACUUCUCACAAACAAGUUUGCGACAACUAUUUGAGUUACUCUCGGUUAGAAAUAUAUCACUCACCUUUCAGAAUUCACAUGUUCAAAGUUUGCAAACUUCCAAAAUGUUGA